rnacentral:lncRNA from 1 species
AGUUGCUUGGAUUGGAGAGUGGUGGUUAGAAUAACCUUAUGGAAAGAAGGGCGAGGCAUUUUUUGGGGGGUGAAGACCAAGAAAGAAGGCUCAAAGCAUAACCAAGUUUUGUUUUUUUGUUAACCCUUUGAUCCAAAGUUUUCAACUUUGGGCUCUCUAAUUACUGGGAUUUUUCUUUUUUCUUUUUUCUUUCUUCUUCUUCACCUCUUCACUUCAGAUCUGCUUC